GAGAAAGUUGUGGAAACUAUCAAUGACUCAAUCCCUAUAAUCGAGUGGGAUUUGAAGGGACUCACUAUUUUGAUAACGGACCGCUCACAAUUCAGUACUUAUUGGUCUUGGAUGCUUUGAAUUUUUGUUUUUGGCCUGGUUCUGAAUUACGGAAAUGGUUGAUAUUGCCAAGGCCACUUCCUUUGGAGGAUGAACGGGUCCGCUUAUUGCACGAGAGAACUUUGAGGGGAAAGCAUCCAAUCUGGUGGAGUCGUGUGGAAAAUCUGCAGUAAAGCUUGUAGCUCUUGUUACAAGUCACUUUCCUGGUUUCCGUGACCACACUGUUUACAAGGGCCACCAGAUAUUCUUGUCUAAAAGAGCUCAGAUAUUUGCGUCUGAUUUAAGGGGUUCAUUCAAAGGCAAAGGUUAUGGAGAAUUCAACGACAUAGGUGCAAUUACCAUAUUUGCUGACUAUAUUGUUUCAGCAGUGCUUCGUCAGCUUGGUGUUCUGAGAUACAAUUCAUCCCUAGCUGGCAUAAUUGAGGCUAAAUGUGAAAUCGGUUUCAGGCAGAGAGGAGGAAGUGGAACUACGAGCCUGCUUGAUAUAUGCUGUAGAGAAAAUGAGGGAGUUAAUCUGGAAAAAAUCUGGAAA